rnacentral:tRNA from 1 species
UAUUUUUAUCUGGGCACUAACCAGAACCUAAGGCCUGAAAAACCCUCGUUGUUAUUCAACUACAAAAAC